UGGACAGAUUAUUGUAUUCGACUGUAUUCACGGCGUGAAAUGGGGGAUUACACUGUUUUUAAAAUGGAAAGUGAAUCAAUUAACAUAAUAGACUCCU
rfam:Nicotiana attenuata strain TT chromosome 6, whole genome shotgun sequence.